rnacentral:rRNA from 1 species
UGGGUAACCUGCCUCAAAGAGGGGAAUAGCCUCCCGAAAGGGAGAUUAAUACCGCAUAAUAUGUUUUAAUCGCAUGAUUUUAACAUCAAAGGAUUUUCUUAGGAAAUUCCACUUUGAGAUGGACCCCGCGGCGCAUUAGCUAGUUGGUGAGGUAACGGCUCACCAAGGCAACGAUGCGUAGCCGACCUGAGAGGGUGAUCGGCCACAUUGGAACUGAGACACGGUCCAGACUCCGUAGGGAG